CAGUGGCAAAAUGUCAAUUUUCUCCAUCACGCCGCCCUCCCAUCUACACAUCGCGCAGCCCCACCCCUCUCCACGCGCCGCCCCCGAUCUUCGCCGGGCGCCCACCUCCGCGCCGCUACAUCACCAUCGCCCGGAGUUGCCAGGGUCAUCGUCCUCCGAUCUCCUUCGCCCGAGCCGAUCUCUCCACCGAUUUGCUCCGCCCGUGCCGAUCUCUCCCGUCCGCGUCGGCAGUGACGGCCGCCUCGCCGAUCUCCUCCGUGCCACCGUCGGUACUCCCUCACCAAUCUGCUCCGCCCGCGCCAAUCUCUCCCAUCCGCGUCGCCAGCGAGGGCCACCCCACCAAUCUCCUCCGUGCCACCUCUGGAACACCCGCGCCCGCGUCGCCGACGACCUAGAAGAAAAAAAAAGUUCAGAUUGUCGAAGCAAAGCUGACUGGACACCAUGCCAAUUGCUAUUGUUUACUGCACAAUCAAGGAGAUUUUUGACUGAUUCUACUAAAUUUCUGUUUGGUAAAGCUUAUUAAUUUGCUUAGGAUUACAAAUGAUUCCGAGCGCCACAGUCAGUCCUACAAGAUCAGCGUCGGCAGUCCUCUCUGCCCUGAUUAAGGAGUGCUUGAACAAGGUUUCCUAGACGGUGUUUUUCCUCGCUCAUCCUGAAAGCCCUGAUCCUGAAGGUUCAUUCCUUCUAUUACUGACAUCAUAACUGAAGCUUGCAACAGUUUAUGUGUCAUAUUAAUGCCAUUGGUAUUCAAUCCAUUUCCUGAUAAUAUAGAAUUGCUCUUAUUUUCCUUGUAAAAUUAUGUGCAAGCAGUAAGAUUUUAAAUUGGUUAUUGUCUUCAUGAUCAUUGGAUCUUUUUUUUUCCAAUGAAGUGUAUCAAACUAGAGCAAACUGUUACUCUGAACAUGUCAAAUCGGUCAUUUAUCUGAAUUUAU
rnacentral:lncRNA from 1 species